rnacentral:miRNA from 1 species
UCGGUUUCUAGUAAAACUUGC